rnacentral:rRNA from 1 species
UACGUAGGGUGCGAGCGUUAAUCGGAAUUACUGGGCGUAAAGGGUGCGCAGGCGGUUUUGUAAGCCAGAUGUGAAAUCCCCGGGCUCAACCUGGGAAUGGCAUUUGGGACUGCAAGGCUAGAGUGUGGCAGAGGAGACUGGAAUUCCCGGUGUAGCAGUGAAAUGCGUAGAUAUCGGGAGGAACACCAGUGGCGCAGGCGGCGUCCUGGACCGGCACUGACGCUGAGGAGCGAAAGCGUGGGGAGCAAACAGG